UUAACUCAAAUCUGUAUGGAGUUGGAACGUUUGCCUACGUUUGCUGCUAGGGGCGCUGUUCCAACUGCAUACAAAUUUUUGUUC
rfam:Bombyx mori DNA, contig: Bm_scaf38_contig22313, strain: p50T/Dazao, build 2, whole genome shotgun sequence.